GACGAACGCUGGCGGCGUGCUUAACACAUGCAAGUCGAACGGAAAGGCCCUGCUUUUGUGGGGUGCUCGAGUGGCGAACGGGUGAGUAACACGUGAGUAACCUGCCCUUGACUUUGGGAUAACUUCAGGAAACUGGGGCUAAUACCGGAUAGGAGCUCCUGCUGCAUGGUGGGGGUUGGAAAGUUUCGGCGGUUGGGGAUGGACUCGCGGCUUAUCAGCUUGUUGGUGGGGUAGUGGCUUACCAAGGCUUUGACGGGUAGCCGGCCUGAGAGGGUGACCGGGGAGAGGGAGGUGGGGAUGGGGGACGACGACGGGGGGGGGGGAGUGGGGGGAAAAAUGGGACGAGGGGGGGAAGCGGGGGGAGGCCGCGGGGCGGGGGGGAGGGCGGGCGGUGGGUUGUACACCGGUUGAGCGGGUGGCGAGGGGGGGGGGAGGGUGAGGGGUAGAGGAGGACCGGCGAAAUACGCGCGAGCAGCCGGGGUAAUACUGGAAAGAACAAGCGUGGGAGC
rnacentral:rRNA from 1 species